UACGGGGGGGGCAAGCGUUGUUCGGAAUUACUGGGCGUAAAGGGCUCGUAGGUGGCCAACUAAGUCAAUCGUGAAAUCCCUCGGCUUAACCGGGGAACUGCGUCCGAUACUGGCGAGGCUCGAAUCCGGGAGAGGGAUGUGGAAUUCCAGGUGUAGCGGUGAAAUGCGUAGAUAUCGUUUGGAACGCCGAUGGUGAAAACAGGUCGCUGGGGUUGUGCUGACGCUGAGACACGAAAGCCAGGGGAGCGAACGGG
rnacentral:rRNA from 1 species